CCCAUACAAGUGAUGGUGCCAGAUCUUUAGGGCAAAAACCAUAGCCAAAAACUCUAAGUCAUGAACUUUUAACUGUCUAGAAGCAUAUACAACCACCUCGCUAUGUUGCAUUAACAUACAACCUAAUCCCACAUGGGACGCAUCACGAUAAACAAUAAAAUCAUCUAUUCCCAUGGGUAUGAUCAAAAGCAAAGACAAAGUCAACUUAUCCUUUAACUUCUAGAAACUACCUCCCC
rnacentral:lncRNA from 1 species